GACGAACGCUGGCGGCGUGCUUAACACAUGCAAGUCGAACGGAAAGGCCCUGCUUGCAGGGUACUCGAGUGGCGAACGGGUGAGUAACACGUGGGUGAUCUGCCCUGCACUUCGGGAUAAGCCUGGGAAACUGGGUCUAAUACCGGAUAGGAGCCAUUUUUAGUGUGAUGGUUGGAAAGUUUUUUCGGUGUAGGAUGAGCUCGCGGCCUAUCAGCUUGUUGGUGGGGUAAUGGCCUACCAAGGCGGCGACGGGUAGCCGGCCUGAGGGGGUGGACGGCCACAUUGGGACUGGGAGACGGCCCAGACUCCUACGGGAGGCAGCAGGGGGGGAUAUUGCACAAUGGGCGGAAGCCUGAUGCAGCGACGCCGCGUGGGGGAUGACGGCCUUCGGGUUGUAAACUCCUUUCGCUAGGGACGAAGCUUUUUGUGACGGUACCUAGAUAAGAAGCACCGGCUAACUACGUG
rnacentral:rRNA from 1 species